GGCGGUUGGGACGCAGAAUUUACACGACGAAUGUGGGAGAAAGAGGCGGAGCGUGCGUCGGACGUUAGUAGAAAGAUGGGAGCGGAGAGACGUUGGGACGCCAAAAGUGGAAGGCAACGACACACGGCCCGUGGCGCCUUCAGCUAGGGAGAAAGAGAGAGAGGACGGGGGCUGGCGGGCGGGAUUAGCUGCCGGAGGGCUGAGUUUCCGCAGGCCUGGUAAGAGUUCCAGCUCUCGCAUCCCUUUGCCGUGAGUUUGAGGAGGUGGUUGGAGCGGGGAAAUGCACCAGAGGGGCGGGGCCUUCCAGUUAUUAUAUUACGUCAUGCAAAUGAGGUGGCUAGACAGACCAAUCCAAAGGCCCCGGGAAGCGUUUCGUCCGCACCACGCAGCGUAGGCAUUCUUCGGGCAGUUCUACCUAUUUGCAUAAUGUAUGCAAAUCAUUUGAACAAAGAUAGGCUAGGAAUGACUCGUUCAUCAAAAUAUGGGCAACCAUCGACUAAGACGGACAUUUAAUUUUAUAACCUAUAAUUUUCAUGAAUAAAUUUUUAUAUUUGAAAUUA
ensembl:lncRNA novel transcript